rnacentral:rRNA from 1 species
GGAUGACCGCUGGCGGCGUGCCUAAUACAUGCAAGUCGAGCGAACAGACGAGGAGCUUGCUCCUCUGACGUUAGCGGCGGCCGGGUGAGUAACACGUGGAUAACCUACCUAUAAGACUGGGAUAACUUCGGGAAACCGGAGCUAAUACCGGAUAAUAUAUUGAACCGCAUGGUUCAUUAGUGAAAGACGGUUUUGCUGUCACUUAUAGAUGGAUCCGCGCCGCAUUAGCUAGUUGGUAAGGUAACGGCUUACCAAGGCGACGAUGCGUAGCCGACCUGAGAGGGUGAUCGGCCACACUGGAACUGAGACACGGUCCAGACUCCUACGGGAGGCAGCAGUAGAGAAUCUUCCGCAAUGGGCGAAAGCCUGACGGAGCAACGCCGCGUGGGUGAUGAAGGUCUUCGGAUCGUAAAACUCUGUUAUUAGGGAAAAACAAAUGUGUAAGUAACUAUGCACGUCUUGACGGUACCUAAUCAGAAAGCCACGGCUAACUACGUG